rnacentral:rRNA from 1 species
UACGUAGGGUGCGAGCGUUAAUCGGAAUUACUGGGCGUAAAGCGUGCGCAGGCGGUUCGCCAAGUCAGGUGUGAAAUCCCCGGGCUUAACCUGGGAAUUGCGCUUGAAACUAGCGGGCUUGAGUGUGGCAGAGGGGGGUGGAAUUCCACGUGUAGCAGUGAAAUGCGUAGAUAUGCGGAGGAACACCGAUGGCGAAGGCAGUCCCCUGGGCCUGUACUGACGCUCAUGCACGAAAGCGUGGGGAGCAAACAGG